rnacentral:rRNA from 1 species
UACGUAGGUGGCAAGCGUUAUCCGGAAUUAUUGGGCGUAAAGCGCUCGCAGGCGGUUUCUUAAGUCUGAUGUGAAAGCCCACGGCUCAACCGUGGAGGGUCAUUGGAAACUGGGAGACUUGAGUGCAGAAGAGGAGAGUGGAAUUCCACGUGUAGCGGUGAAAUGCGUAGAGAUGUGGGGGAACACCAGUGGCGAAGGCGACUCUCUGGUCUGUAACUGACGCUGAGGAGCGAAAGCGUGGGGAGCAAACAGG